GGGUUGUGAGGUUAAGCGACUAAGCGUACACGGUGGAUGCCCUGGCAGUCAGAGGCGAUGAAGGGCGUGCUAAUCUGCGAUAAGCGCCGGUAAGGUGAUAUGAACCGUUAUAACCGGCGAUACCCGAAUGGGGAAACCCAGUGUGAUUCGUCACACUAUCAUUAACUGAAUCCAUAGGUUAAUGAGGCGAACCGGGGGAACUGAAACAUCUAAGUACCCCGAGGAAAAGAAAUCAACCGAGAUUCCCCCAGUAGCGGCGAGCGAACGGGGAGGAGCCCAGAGCCUGAAUCAGCAUGUGUGUUAGUGGAAGCGUCUGGAAAGGCGCGCGAUACAGGGUGACAGCCCCGUACACAAAAGCGCAUGUGCUGUGAGCUCGAUGAGUAGGGCGGGACACGUGGUAUCCUGUCUGAAUAUGGGGGGACCAUCCUCCAAGGCUAAAUACUCCUGACUGACCGAUAGUGAACCAGUACCGUGAGGGAAAGGCGAAAAGAACCCCGGCGAGGGGAGUGAAAAAGAACCUGAAACCGUGUACGUACAAGCAGUGGGAGCACACGUUUACGGGUGUGACUGCGUACCUUUUGUAUAAUGGGUCAGCGACUUAUAUUCUGUAGCAAGGUUAACCGUAUAGGGGAGCCGGAGGGAAACCGAGUCUUAACCGGGCGUUAAGUUGCAGGGUAUAGACCCGAAACCCGGUGAUCUAGCCAUGGGCAGGUUGAAGGUUGGGUAACACUAACUGGAGGACCGAACCGACUAAUGUUGAAAAAUUAGCGGAUGACCUGUGGCUGGGGGUGAAAGGCCAAUCAAACCGGGAGAUAGCUGGUUCUCCCCGAAAGCUAUUUAGGUAGCGCCUCGUGAAUUCAUCUCCGGGGGUAGAGCACUGUUUCGGCUAGGGGGCCAUCCCGGCUUACCAACCCGAUGCAAACUGCGAAUACCGGAGAAUGUUAUCACGGGAGACACACGGCGGGUGCUAACGUCCGUCGUGAAGAGGGAAACAACCCAGACCGCCAGCUAAGGUCCCAAAGUCAUGGUUAAGUGGGAAACGAUGUGGGAAGGCCCAGACAGCCAGGAUGUUGGCUUAGAAGCAGCCAUCAUUUAAAGAAAGCGUAAUAGCUCACUGGUCGAGUCGGCCUGCGCGGAAGAUGUAACGGGGCUAAACCAUGCACCGAAGCUGCGGCAGCGACGUUUAUGCGUUGUUGGGUAGGGGAGCGUUCUGUAAGCCUGUGAAGGUGGCCUGUGAGGGAUGCUGGAGGUAUCAGAAGUGCGAAUGCUGACAUAAGUAACGAUAAAGCGGGUGAAAAGCCCGCUCGCCGGAAGACCAAGGGUUCCUGUCCAACGUUAAUCGGGGCAGGGUGAGUCGACCCCUAAGGCGAGGCCGAAAGGCGUAGUCGAUGGGAAACGGGUUAAUAUUCCCGUACUUGGUGUUACUGCGAAGGGGGGACGGAGAAGGCUAUGUUGGCCGGGCGACGGUUGUCCCGGUUUAAGCGUGUAGGCUGGUUUUCCAGGCAAAUCCGGAAAAUCAAGGCUGAGGCGUGACGACGAGGCACUACGGUGCUGAAGCAACAAAUGCCCUGCUUCCAGGAAAAGCCUCUAAGCAUCAGGUAACAUCAAAUCGUACCCCAAACCGACACAGGUGGUCAGGUAGAGAAUACCAAGGCGCUUGAGAGAACUCGGGUGAAGGAACUAGGCAAAAUGGUGCCGUAACUUCGGGAGAAGGCACGCUGACACGUAGGUGAAGUGAUUUACUCAUGGAGCUGAAGUCAGUCGAAGAUACCAGCUGGCUGCAACUGUUUAUUAAAAACACAGCACUGUGCAAACACGAAAGUGGACGUAUACGGUGUGACGCCUGCCCGGUGCCGGAAGGUUAAUUGAUGGGGUCAGCGCAAGCGAAGCUCCUGAUCGAAGCCCCGGUAAACGGCGGCCGUAACUAUAACGGUCCUAAGGUAGCGAAAUUCCUUGUCGGGUAAGUUCCGACCUGCACGAAUGGCGUAAUGAUGGCCAGGCUGUCUCCACCCGAGACUCAGUGAAAUUGAACUCGCUGUGAAGAUGCAGUGUACCCGCGGCAAGACGGAAAGACCCCGUGAACCUUUACUAUAGCUUGACACUGAACAUUGAGCCUUGAUGUGUAGGAUAGGUGGGAGGCUUUGAAGCGUGGACGCCAGUCUGCGUGGAGCCGACCUUGAAAUACCACCCUUUAAUGUUUGAUGUUCUAACGUGGACCCGUAAUCCGGGUUGCGGACAGUGUCUGGUGGGUAGUUUGACUGGGGCGGUCUCCUCCUAAAGAGUAACGGAGGAGCACGAAGGUUGGCUAAUCCUGGUCGGACAUCAGGAGGUUAGUGCAAUGGCAUAAGCCAGCUUGACUGCGAGCGUGACGGCGCGAGCAGGUGCGAAAGCAGGUCAUAGUGAUCCGGUGGUUCUGAAUGGAAGGGCCAUCGCUCAACGGAUAAAAGGUACUCCGGGGAUAACAGGCUGAUACCGCCCAAGAGUUCAUAUCGACGGCGGUGUUUGGCACCUCGAUGUCGGCUCAUCACAUCCUGGGGCUGAAGUAGGUCCCAAGGGUAUGGCUGUUCGCCAUUUAAAGUGGUACGCGAGCUGGGUUUAGAACGUCGUGAGACAGUUCGGUCCCUAUCUGCCGUGGGCGCUGGAGAACUGAGGGGGGCUGCUCCUAGUACGAGAGGACCGGAGUGGACGCAUCACUGGUGUUCGGGUUGUCAUGCCAAUGGCACUGCCCGGUAGCUAAAUGCGGAAGAGAUAAGUGCUGAAAGCAUCUAAGCACGAAACUUGCCCCGAGAUGAGUUCUCCCUGAGACUUAAAGUCUCCUGAAGGAACGUUGAAGACGACGACGUUGAUAGGCCGGGUGUGUAAGCGCAGCGAUGC
rnacentral:rRNA from 1 species